rnacentral:rRNA from 1 species
GUGGGGAAUCUUGCGCAAUGGGCGAAAGCCUGACGCAGCCAUGCCGCGUGAAUGAUGAAGGUCUUAGGAUUGUAAAAUUCUUUCACCGGGGACGAUAAUGACGGUACCCGGAGAAGAAGCUCCGGCUAACUUCGUGCCAGCAGCCGCGGUAAUACGAAGGGGGCUAGCGUUGCUCGGAAUUACUGGGCGUAAAGGGCGCGUAGGCGGACAGCUUAGUCAGAGGUGAAAGCCCAGGUCUCAACCUUGGAAUUGCCUUUGAUACUGGCUGUCUUGAGUUUGGGAGAGGUGAGUGGAACUCCGAGUGUAGAGGUGAAAUUCGUAGAUAUUCGGAAGAACACCAGUGGCGAAGGCGACUCACUGGCCCAAUACUGACGCUGAGGCGCGAAAGCGUGGGGAGCAAACAGGAUUAGAAACCCGGGUAGUCC